UCUGUGUGUGUGUAUGGACUCAGCAGUCUGUGUGUAUGUGUAUGGACAUAGCAGUCUGUGUGUGUGUAUGGACUCAGCAGUCUGUGUGUCUGUGUGUGUGUAUGGACUCAGCAGUCUGUGUGUGUGUCUGUGUGUGUGUAUGGACAUAGCAGUCUGUGUGUGUGUCUGUGUGUGUGUAUGGACUUAGCAGUCUGUGUGUGUGUCUGUGUG